GUCCCCUUCGUCUAGAGGCCUAGGACACCGCCCUUUCACGGCGGCAACACGGGUUCGAAUCCCGUAGGGGACG
rnacentral:tRNA from 2 species